GGACAUUGCUAUAGCAGUCACACAUUCUGUGUCUUUGCGCAGAAGUUUUCCCAGCAGCCAGGCAUUUUGGGUCUUUGCAUAGAAACUUCCUAACCACCAAGCAUGUCACAGUCAUAAAGCUACCUCAAUCCCAAACACAGAACCCUUACAAACGACCUGACCCAGGUUGGGAGAAAAAGUGAAACUCCAGGGAGACCAGAAAUUCCCAGUUGCUCUGUGUCCACACCCCAGGCACAGCUCUAGACUCUGAGAUUCAUGCCCAGGGCUGGGACUUUGGCCUGAACACUCCUCUGUAGUAAUCAUUCUUUGUCUCACUGUCCCUUUAUUCCUGUCUCAGGGUGUAAAUAAGCAGUUCUCAGACAUUUUGGUUUCAGGAUCUUUAUAUGCUCUUAGAAAGUAGCAUGCACUCCUGAGGUAAUCAUGUUUAUGUGGAUUAUGUCUAUCAAUAUUUGCCCUAUUAGAAAUUAAUUCCAUCUUUAAGAUAUGUUAUUCCUUCUAAAUAUUCAUAACUAAUUGCAUGUUAAUAGAAACAGUAGUUUUCAAGAGAAAUAACUAUUUUCCAAAAUCAAAAUAUUUAACUGGAAGACUGGAUCAUUUUACUUUUUACAAUUUUAAAAGUCCCUUUCAUUUGUCGUUAGAGAAUGCUAGAUAUUCUUAUGUUCUGCAUUUAACCUGUGACUUUGACUGAAAUGAAAAAAAAUUGCAACCUCACAGUGAUAUCUAGGAAGAAUGAUUUUAAUAAUGUUUUCAGUAAUUGUGGCUAUUUGUCUUUGAUACUACACUAAAUUGACACAAGUGUUAGUUUCUUAAAGGUUCUUUGCCAUAUAGACCCCAAAACAUUAGCAUUGAGUAGUUCAUAUUCUGUUGUAUUAAAGUCUGUAAGUGUGUCUUGCGUGUUGAAUGGAUUUUGUGGUAAUGCAUGAUAUUAUUUUAAAGUCAUGCACUGUUUGCCCGUGUUAUGUAGACCUUCUAGUGUUAACAUAUUUAAGUGUCAAUAAUCAAGAGGUCAGUAUGUUGAUAUUUCCACAGAUUUCACCAGAAAGUGUUAUAGGUACUUGAAAUUCUGUCAGGUUGAUAAUGGUGGAUGCAAGUUUUCCCAGAAUCUGAUAUACUCUUGAAAGCAUACAUUUUAUCAUUGAAAAUAUUGCUGUCUGUGGAUCCUUGUGAAGGGGCAGAUUCAGUUCAUUUUUUAGAAUGUUGGCCACAUACUGAAUUCUAAAGAAUAGUUUCUAUGUCCUUCAUUCUUUUAAGCAGGAAUGGUAUUCCAGAAAAUGGAAUGGUAUAACUCACCACAUGGCUUUUGUUGAUACAAACACCAUACUUUCAAAUGUAGCAGAUGUGCUUUAUGUCUACUUUCAAUUCUAUUACAUAAGUGUUUUUAUAAUGUGAAUUCUGGGAUGGCAAUUUAAUAAGGUUAAUAAUUUUUAACACUUCAACUAGGACAUGUUUAAGUGAAUUUGCAUGUUUUCCCUUCUGCUGUUAUAAGGUGCUCAAGAAUAUAAU
rnacentral:lncRNA from 1 species